ensembl:lncRNA
AUUUUGGAGCUGACCAGGAUGAUUCUUUUAUCUGAACUAUUGACCAUUUCUUUCCUGUGAGAGGCAGGGGAUGGAAACAAAAUUAAACAGUGCCUGUGGCAAAUGUUGCUUCCCAACCAAUUAGAAGUGAGAGUGAAAACAUCCACAUCAGGUCACCUAGUAGAACAAGGCACGCCCAGGAGCAGAACCACAUGGCAGAGACUAAAGAGGAGGAAGUGAGCAAUGGCUGCUGGCUCCAGAAGCGGAAGCCCUGGAUAGCUGCCUUCCCACUAAAACGGGCGCCACCCUACCUGUCUCCUCACCAUCCUCCCAUUCCCUCAUCCCAUGGCCUGUCCUCCCUCCCACCCCACCACAUGCCGUGCAGCACUCUCCACAGCCUGGCUGGUUGGCUCCUGGGGAGCUGUGUUGAAGCGGGAGUUGUGCC